GCAUGAGUUAUGUCAUGUUAUCGAUAUGUGAAUACAUAGCAUAUCAGAAGGCACACCCGGAGAACUGAAACAUCUUAGUACCCGGAGGAAGAGAAAGAAAAUUCGAUUCCCUUAGUAGCGGCGAGCGAAACGGGAAGAGCCCAAACCAACAAGCUUGCUUGUUGGGGUUGUAGGACACUCUAUACGGAGUUACAAAGGACGACAUUAGACGAAUCAUCUGGAAAGAUGAAUCAAAGAAGGUAAUAAUCCUGUAGUCGAAAAUGUUGUCUCUCUUGAGUGGAUCCUGAGUACGACGGAGCACGUGAAAUUCCGUCGGAAUCUGGGAGGACCAUCUCCUAAGGCUAAAUACUCUCUAGUGACCGAUAGUGAACCAGUACCGUGAGGGAAAGGUGAAAAGCACCCCGGAAGGGGAGUGAAAUAGAACCUGAAACCGUGUGCUUACAAGUAGUCAGAGCCCGUUAAUGGGUGAUGGCGUGCCUUUUGUAGAAUGAACCGGCGAGUUACGAUUUGAUGCAAGGUUAAGCAGUAAAUGUGGAGCCGUAGCGAAAGCGAGUCUGAAUAGGGCGUUUAGUAUUUGGUCGUAGACCCGAAACCAGGUGAUCUACCCUUGGUCAGGUUGAAGUUCAGGUAACACUGAAUGGAGGACCGAACCGACUUACGUUGAAAAGUGAGCGGAUGAACUGAGGGUAGCGGAGAAAUUCCAAUCGAACCUGGAGAUAGCUGGUUCUCUCCGAAAUAGCUUUAGGGCUAGCCUCAAGUGAUGAUUAUUGGAGGUAGAGCACUGUUUGGACGAGGGGCCCCUCUCGGGUUACCGAAUUCAGACAAACUCCGAAUGCCAAUUAAUUUAACUUGGGAGUCAGAACAUGGGUGAUAAGGUCCGUGUUCGAAAGGGAAACAGCCCAGACCACCAGCUAAGGUCCCAAAAUAUAUGUUAAGUGGAAAAGGAUGUGGCGUUGCCCAGACAACUAGGAUGUUGGCUUAGAAGCAGCCAUCAUUUAAAGAGUGCGUAAUAGCUCACUAGUCGAGUGACACUGCGCCGAAAAUGUACCGGGGCUAAACAUAUUACCGAAGCUGUGGAUUGUCCUUUGGACAAUGGUAGGAGAGCGUUCUAAGGGCGUUGAAGCAUGAUCGUAAGGACAUGUGGAGCGCUUAGAAGUGAGAAUGCCGGUGUGAGUAGCGAAAGACGGGUGAGAAUCCCGUCCACCGAUUGACUAAGGUUUCCAGAGGAAGGCUCGUCCGCUCUGGGUUAGUCGGGUCCUAAGCUGAGGCCGACAGGCGUAGGCGAUGGAUAACAGGUUGAUAUUCCUGUACCACCUAUAAUCGUUUUA
rnacentral:rRNA from 1 species